rnacentral:misc_RNA from 1 species
UCCCACCUACUCCCCUACCCACCCA